CUUAGUACAAGAAAGAAUGUAAAAUAGCUCGCUAAUGCGGUUUUAUGUGGAUUACAUGUCGAAGUGGUAAUAUAUUAGGUAUGUUGGGUUAAACAGUAUAUUACUAAAAUUAAUUUCAUUUGUUGCUUGCUACUUUAAGUAGGUACAGCGCUAGUCCACAGGUUCUGCAGGAAGUAAGUGGCUUCUUUUGCUCUUCUAGUCUCACCAAGGGAAGAAACAGAAUGUGGGUUUCCUGUGGGGACAUCACACCUGGGAAAAUUACACCUAAGAAUUACACAGCAAGAGCAGGGUUUCUUGGACUGUCCAAAGACCUUAGAGACCUGCCUUCUAACAGCCCACUUUACCCUUCUGACACCUCCACCCCCUCAGUAAUGGACAGAGGUUCUUCCUGAAGAUGGGGGCCGAUGCUUGUUCAAUGCAUUUCUGCUGACCUCUGACAUCCUGUGAUGAGAGGUAGCACAGUGCCGGGCAUACGACAGACACCUGACUAUUCGAUUCCGGCCUCAGGGUCUGGCCAGGCAGACCCCAGCUCCCUGCGUGGCACUCACAGACCUAUCACAGAACCUGGGACACAGUGGAAGUGUGACAAAUGUCUGUCCAGUGGUCAAAUAAAUGAAUGAAAAGAGA